rnacentral:rRNA from 1 species
AUUCCAGCUCCAAUAGCGUAUAUUUAAGUUGUUGCAGUUAAAAAGCUCGUAGUUGGAUUUCGGGUGUCAUCUGCCGGUCCGCCGUUUCGGUGUGCACUAGCGGGCGUCAUCUUUCUGUCGAGGACGCGCUCCUGUCCUUCACUGGUCGGGACGCGGAGUCGGCGAGGUUACUUUGAAAAAAUUAGAGUGUUCAAAGCGGGCUUACGCUUGAAUAUAUUAGCAUGGAAUAACACUAUAGGACUCCUGUCCUAUUUUGUUGGUCUUCGGGACGGGAGUAAUGAUUAAGAGGAACAGUUGGGGGCAUUCGUAUUUCAUUGUCAGAGGCGAAAUUCUUGGAUUUAUGAAAGACGAACUUCUGCGAAAGCAUUUGCCAAGGAUGUUUUCAUUG